GAUGAACGCUGGCGGCGUGCCUAAUACAUGCAAGUCGAGCGAACGGACGAGAAGCUUGCUUCUCUGAUGUUAGCGGCGGACGGGUGAGUAACACGUGGAUAACCUACCUAUAAGACUGGGAUAACUUCGGGAAACCGGAGCUAAUACCGGAUAAUAUUUUGAACCGCAUGGUUCAAAAGUGAAAGACGGUCUUGCUGUCACUUAUAGAUGGAUCCGCGCUGCAUUAGCUAGUUGGUAAGGUAACGGCUUACCAAGGCAACGAUGCAUAGCCGACCUGAGAGGGUGAUCGGCCACACUGGAACUGAGACACGGUCCAGACUCCUACGGGAGGCAGCAGUAGGGAAUCUUCCGCAAUGGGCGAGAGCCUGACGGAGCAACGCCGCGUGAGUGAUGAAGGUCUUCGGAUCGUAAAACUCUGCUAUUAGGGAAGAACAUAUGUGUAAGUAACUGUGCACAUCUUGACGGUACCUAAUCAGAAAGCCACGGCUAACUACGUG
rnacentral:rRNA from 1 species